GGGUUCUGCUAUCACUCUUGGGAUGGGACCCUGCGGUGCAUUAGCUAGUUGGUAGGGUAACGGGCCUACCAAGGCGAUGAUGCAUAGCCCGAGUUGAGAGACUGAUCGGGCCACAUUGGGGACUGAGACACGGGCCCAAAACUCCUACGGGGAGGCAGCAGUAGGGAAUCUUCCACAAUGGACGACAAGUCUGAUGGAGCAACGCCGCGUGAGUGAAGAAGGGUCUCGGCUCGUAAAAGCUCUGUUGUUGGUGAAGAAGGACGAGGGGUAGUAACUGACCUUUGUUUGACGGUAAUCAAUUAGAAGUCACGGCUAACUACGUGCCAGCAGCCCGGUAAU
rnacentral:rRNA from 1 species